rnacentral:rRNA from 1 species
CGAAACCGCGAAUGGCUCAUUAAAUCAGUUAUGGUUCACUAGAUCGUACAGUUUACAUGGAUAACUGUGGUAAUUCUAGAGCUAAUACAUGCAACCAGUCCGUUCCCUCGUGGAGCGGACGCAGUUAUUUGCCCAAGACCAAUCCGGCCCUCGGGUCGGUCAAUUGGUGACUCUGAAUAACCGAAGCGGAGCACAUGAUCUCGUAUCGGCGCCAGAUCUUUCAAGUGUCUGACUUAUCAGCUUGUUGUUAGGUUAUGUUCCUAACAAGGCUUUUACGGGUAACGGAGUGUCAGGGCCCGACACCGGAGAGGGAGCCUGAGAAACGGCUACCACAUCCAAGGAAGGCAGCAGGCGCGCAAAUUACCCACUCCCGGCACGGGGAGGUAGUGACGAAAAAUAACG